rnacentral:lncRNA from 1 species
CUAGGACACACACCACCAGAGGGCUUCCAGCCUUUCCAGUCCCACCUUGCAGCACGCCAUCAGAGUCCUAAAAGCAAAACCAUCUUGAGGACCUUACACCCUCACUGGAGACACAGCCCUGUCUCAUUGUCAGACCAAAGAGGAAUCUGUGUGUCCCAAGUUUUUAGUUCAAAAAUAUAUUCAUUAUAUGCAGGCAAAAUGCAGCGAUUGUUAUAGUGAAGAAUCCAGGGCCUGCCUUGUUUGAGAGUUUGGUGGGAGAGCAGCAGAAGUCAGGGUCUAGCAAGGAUCUCACUUGUCAGCAGAAAUGAGCCAUCUGGUUGCUGCCCUGAGAGCCCAUCUUACACAAAUGUCACCGCUUUCCACAUUCACAACGGACCAUUUCCUUACCAGCCAGGAGAAGCCAAUUAUAUUUGUCAAAUAACAAGAGCAAAGUACAUUUUUGCAAGUCAGUCGUCUUGUCUAUAAUCAACUCAAC